rnacentral:rRNA from 1 species
GAUGAACGCUGGCGGCGUGCCUAAUACAUGCAAGUCGAACGGAGAGACGCGUAGCUUUCUCCUGUGACGGUAUCGGCGGACAGGGGAGUAGUACCUGGUGAAUCGACCGAUAAGACUUGGAUGACUACGGGAAACCAGAGCUAAUACCGCGUAAUAUAUUGAGCCUCUUGGUUGAAUAGUGUGAGACGGUUUUGCUGUCGGUGAUAGAUGGAUCCGCGCCGCAUUAGCUAGUUGGUGAGGUGACGGCUUACCAAGGCAACGAUGCGUAGCCGACCUGAGAGGGUGGUCGGCGACACUAGAACUGCGACAAGGUGCAGCCUACUACGGGAGGCAGCAGUAGGGAAUAUUACGCCAUGGGCGGCAGAAUGCCGGAGCAACGACGCGGCGGGGAUGAUGGUGUUCGGCGCGUUGAAAUCUGCUAUCAGGGAAGAAGCAGUGUGUACGCAUCUAUGCGUGUGUUGACGGUACCUAAACAGAAAGCCCCGGCUAACUACGUG